GGGAAUGUGACUUAGUGGUAGAGUUCUUGCCUAGCAUGCAUGAAGUCCUGGGUUCAAUUCCUCAAAACCA
rfam:Dipodomys ordii contig_19993, whole genome shotgun sequence.